rnacentral:piRNA from 1 species
AACUGACUCUAACAAGUGAUGAGUC